UGCAAGUCGAGCGCACUCUUCGGAGUGAGCGGCGGACGGGUUAGUAACGCGUGGGAAUAUACCCGACACUAAGGAAUAGCCUCUGGAAACGGAGAGUAAUACCUUAUACGCCCUUCGGGGGAAAGAUUUAUCGGUGACGGAUUAGCCCGCGUUAGAUUAGAUAGUUGGUGGGGUAAUGGCCUACCAAGUCUACGAUCUAUAGCUGGUUUGAGAGGAUGAUCAGCAACACUGGGACUGAGACACGGCCCAGACUCCUACGGGAGGCAGCA
rnacentral:rRNA from 1 species